UUGAACGUUGGCGGCAUGCCUUACACAUGCAAGUCGAACGGUAACAGGUCUUCGGAUGCUGACGAGUGGCGAACGGGUGAGUAAUACAUCGGAACGUGCCCGAUCGUGGGGGAUAACGCAGCGAAAGCUGUGCUAAUACCGCAUACGAUCUACGGAUGAAAGCGGGGGAUCGCAAGACCUUGCGCGGACGGAGCGGCCGAUGGCAGAUCAGGUAGUUGGUGGGAUAAAAGCUUACCAAGCCGACGAUCUGUAGCUGGUCUGAGAGGACGACCAGCCACACUGGGACUGAGACACGGCCCAGACUCCUACGGGGGGCAGCAGUGGGGAAUUUUGGACAAUGGGCGAAAGCCUGAUCCAGCCAUGCCGCGUGCAGGAUGAAGGCCUUCGGGUUGUAAACUGCUUUUGUACGGAACGAAAAAGUCUUCUCUAAUACAGGGGGCGAAUGACGGUACCGUAAGAAUAAGCACCGGCUAACUACGU
rnacentral:rRNA from 1 species